GAUCCUGGCUCAGACGAACGCUGGCGGCGCGCUUAACACAUGCAAGUCGAACGAGAAGCCGGAGCAAUCCGGUUGUAAAAGUGGCGAACGGGUGAAGAAUACAUGGGUGACCUACCCUCGAUGGGGGAAUAACCGCCGAAAGGCGGGCUAAUGCCGCGUACGCUUCCAUUCUCGCGGGGGAUGGAAGGAAAGCUGCACCUUGGGUGCGGCGCUCAAGGAUGGGCUCAUGUCCUAUCAGCUUGUUGGCGGGGUAACGGCCCACCAAGGCUCCGACGGGUAGCUGGUCUGAGAGGACGAUCAGCCACACUGGCACUGCGACACGGGCCAGACUCC
rnacentral:rRNA from 1 species